AACGAACGCUGGCGGCAGGCCUAACACAUGCAAGUCGAACGCCCCGCAAGGGGAGUGGCAGACGGGUGAGUAACGCGUGGGAACCUUCCCAGUGGUACGGAAUAACCCAGGGAAACCUGAGCUAAUACCGUACACGCCCGAAAGGGGAAAGAUUUAUCGCCAUUGGAUGGGCCCGCGUCAGAUUAGCUAGUUGGUGAGGUAACGGCUCACCAAGGCGACGAUCCGUAGCUGGUCUGAGAGGAUGAUCAGCCACACUGGGACUGAGACACGGCCCAGACUCCUACGGGAGGCAGCAGUGGGGAAUAUUGGACAAUGGGCGCAAGCCUGAUCCAGCCAUGCCGCGUGAGUGAAGAAGGUCUUCGGAUUGUAAAGCUCUUUUGGCGGGGACGAUAAUGACGGUACCCGCAGAAUAAGCCCCGGCUAACUUCGUGCCAGCCGCCGCUGUAACAC
rnacentral:rRNA from 1 species